CCGAGUCCAACAUAUUCUUAACAGCAAUGUAUCAGAAAUUCAAUCCUCGCGUUUCAACAUUUCACGUCUUCUUCUUUGCUCCGUCUCCACGUCGCGCGCCCUUAACCUUGUUCCAGCUUCAAGGACUUCACGCUCAUCAUAAAACGGUUCAAAGUUCCAAACAAGAAUCUUACAUGGCGCUGAAUCACAGCAGAAAAACGAAAUUGAGACUCAUCGCAAUGAAGCAAGAAGAAAAGAAAAGCUUACCGGAUUCAACGCGGUGGAAAGAAACCAAUGAAGAACUUCCUCUGAGUUGUGAAGGAAUCUUCUGUUUGUGUGUGAUGGUGGAUACUGGUUCUGAAAGAUAUGUUCUGAGAGGUUGAGAGGGUGAAACGUUUCGAAGCUUUAAGAGAGAUCGAGAAAAAAAUGAGUAUGGAACAAAUUGAGAGUGAAAUGAAAUUCUGUGAUGAAUGCAUUGAGUUGAGGUUUUUAUAGAAUCAAAAGUUAAAAGAGGGAAGUCACACUGUUAGUUAUGAUAGGCUAAGUUGGUUAAACGUUGAUCUUCUGUUAGCAAAUCUGUUAACUGGAUUUUGAGUUUUGUCAUCUGUCAUGACUUUGCCUCUAUUUCUGUAAAAUGGAUCGUGAGAUGUCAAUUAUGUUAACUGAGUUAGGUUGACGUUGUUUUUUGUUAAAACUCAGGUUAGAAAUUAGUUAGAAAAAGUUAGUUAUCAAAAAGUUAGUUGAAUUAGGUUGAUUUGAAAUUAGUUUGUUAUGAAGUCUGAGUUGUUAGUUGUGUGGAGUUUUCCUAUUCUUAUUUUUGUUACUUGAAAAUUCUGCAGCUUAAGGUUAAAUUGGAGGGUGGAGUUCAAUUGGUCAGAAUUGUUUUGGUUUUGUUGAUUUUACUAUGAGCCAAAUUAUUAGUAAUUAGUUGGUUCUAUUAAUUGUUAGCUAGAAGCCAUUAGUCGUGAAACCGAAACAGAAUGGUUAGUUAAAAGGUUUUGAAUUGUGGUUGUUAAUUAGAAUUGAUUUGUUGGUUAAAUGAAUGAAGCAGUUAAUAUGCGAUGAACGUUUAUCGAUGCAUUGUAUUGUAUGCCUUAUUUAUCGAUGCAUUGUAUUGUAUGCCUUAUCUGGAAUGUUGUUAUUUGAUGAAUGGUAAUCAAUAUGACAUGGGCCACUAGUGAGGCUUUGUUUGAUGCACUAUUGUUAUGCUAGAUGUUUAUAUUGUUUAUUGAUGGUGAGUCUUCGAUUAGUGAUUAAUUAGUAGUUAAUUUGUGAAGUCAAGUAGUUUAUGUAAUAAUUGGAUGCUAAUUUGUGAAUGAUUUACUUCUGACUUUUGGAUUCUCGCAAGAUGUAAAUGAGCUUGGAUGCUAAGUGGAAUGACUUAUGGGUUGGUUGCUUGAAAGACUUGAAGUUCUGCUCACGUUUGGAAAGUUAUGGCUUGGUUUUCUUGGCAAUUGGAAAGGGGUGUACGACAAUGGUUAUCUUUGGGAACCAAGUUGUGUAUUAAUUGAAAAUGUAAUUUGUAGUUUAAAUGGUGUUGUAAUCAAUGGUUUAUGUAGGAAAUUGGAUGUUGUCAUGGAAAUUGGUUUGUAAUGUUGUAUAGUUUGAAUGGAAAAAUGGUAUUUUCUCA